UUCAAAGAAAAUGAAUGAAUGUUCUAUACAUUUUGAUGGUGUUUCUCAAGAUUUAAUUUUAAUUACAAAAAAAAGAUAUUUAUCACAUAAGUAUAAAAUUAUGGUUAUUGUAUCCUGGAUACAAACAACAAUCAGUUACGAUAGUUUUUCAUAACAUGGACAUGCGUAUUUAAAAAUGUACGUAACAAUAAAGUUAUACAGAAGAAAUGCUCAUUUUUUGUUUACAAUUUGCAUUUAAUCAUUUGUAAAUAAAUAUGUAUUUUUUGAAAUUCAGUUUACAAUUUUAUGUUU
rnacentral:lncRNA from 1 species